GUGUAUUGAAUUUCAAUAUACUUUCCCGAACUUUAGCCAAAUUAGGCAAAGUAUGGAUAAAAUGGUGUUUGAGACUAUUUGAGGGAGUUUAGAUGGACCCUAGAUUAAUUAUAAAUGAGCUGGAGUGAGAUUAGAGUGGAAGCAAGGUUUUCUGGAACAAAAGAUGAAGGAAAAAAAUUUUACAAAAUUCUCGGGGUCCGA
rnacentral:lncRNA from 1 species